AUUGAACGCUGGCGGCAUGCCUUACACAUGCAAGUCGAACGGUAACAGGUCUUCGGAUGCUGACGAGUGGCGAACGGGUGAGUAAUACAUCGGAACGUGCCUAGUAGUGGGGGAUAACUACUCGAAAGAGUGGCUAAUACCGCAUGAGAUCUACGGAUGAAAGCAGGGGAUCGCAAGACCUUGUGCUACUAGAGCGGCCGAUGGCAGAUUAGGUAGUUGGUGGGAUAAAAGCUUACCAAGCCGACGAUCUGUAGCUGGUCUGAGAGGACGAUCAGCCACACUGGGACUGAGACACGGCCCAGACUCCUACGGGAGGCAGCAGUGGGGAAUUUUGGACAAUGGGCGCAAGCCUGAUCCAGCAAUGCCGCGUGCAGGAUGAAGGCCUUCGGGUUGUAAACUGCUUUUGUACGGAACGAAAAGCCCUGGGUUAAUACCCUGGGGUCAUGACGGUACCGUAAGAAUAAGCACCGGCUAACUACGUGCCAGCAGCAGCCGCAGUAA
rnacentral:rRNA from 1 species